rnacentral:rRNA from 1 species
ACUCCUACGGGAGGCAGCAGUAGGGAAUCUUCCACAAUGGACGAAAGUCUGAUGGAGCAACGCCGCGUGAGUGAAGAAGGGUUUCGGCUCGUAAAACUCUGUUGUUAAAGAAGAACAUAUCUGAGAGUAACUGUUCAGGUAUUGACGGUAUUUAACCAGAAAGCCACGGCUAACUACGUGCCAGCAGCCGCGGUAAUACGUAGGUGGCAAGCGUUGUCCGGAUUUAUUGGGCGUAAAGCGAGCGCAGGCGGUUUUUAAGUCUGAUGUGAAAGCCUUCGGCUCAACCGAAGAAGUGCAUCGGAAACUGGGAAACUUAGAGUGCAGAAGAGGACAGUGGAACUCCAUGUGUAGCGGUGAAAUGCGUAGAUAUAUGGAAGAACACCAGUGGCGAAGGCGGCUGUCUGGUCUGUAACUGACGCUGAGGCUCGAAAGUAUGGGUAGCAAACAGGAUUAGAUACCCUGGUAGGAUAGCG